GCAAUGCAGCCAUACUAGAUACUUUAGUGUUCGAUGACUGCGAUACCGGACAGAAACAGUUUACAGGAUUAAACCAUUUUUAUCAGUUUGCAGUUUCAGAGUUCAGUCCAUCAUAGAGAAUUCAUGACUACUCAGUUCAGGGCAGCAGGAGAGUGUGGCGGAGGCUGUUUACAUUACGGUUGACCAUGAAGCCAGAACACAGAAGAACAAAAUUCAAACUGGAAACACAUUUCACUCUCCUGACACAGAAGGCCGCCCACCAGGAAACAGGGCCAUUUGCUGACUUGGAACUUCAGGCUUCCAUUUCCCCAAUCCUUGUUCUGAUAGAGAGGGCGCUAGCUUCAGGAACAGUCACUGCUACAGAUACAUCGCAAAUCACAGCAGAAAGUCGGGCUCGCCACAUCCCCGUCUCUAAAGCUGAUACCACCUUUAUGACAAUACAAAGAUGCAUGUGUGCCCUGUCAGUCCUUUUUAUUUUUCAAAUGGAGACAGAAGAGAAAGGGAUGAUGAUGAUGAUGAUGACAACGACGACGAUGGUGGCAGUGGUGGUGGUGGUGAUGAUGAUGAACUUCUAUCAGAAGAAAAGGGCAUGAAGAGCUUUGAGUCCCCUUCCUUAACUGUCUUUCAUGUACAAUGAAUUCUCCUUUACUGUAGGCUGAAUUUUAAAUGUGAUUCACCCUCUUUAUUAGAGGCUGAUGGGUUGAUGGUCAUGUCUGAUAGUUAGAGGAGAAGUGAAUUAUACACAGUAUAGCAAGAGCCAACCUGAUUGUUUUCUAAGCAAAUUGUUUAUAAGCAAAUUCAAAAACUAACAGC
ensembl:lncRNA AABR07021636.1